rnacentral:rRNA from 1 species
CAGCACCUCAAGUGGUCAGGAUGAUUAUUGGGCCUAAAGCAUCCGUAGCCGGCGCUGUAAGUUUUCGGUUAAAUCUGUACGCUCAACGUACAGGCUGCUGGGAAUACUGCAGCGCUAGGGAGUGGGAGAGGUAGACGGUACUCGGUAGGUAGGGGUAAAAUCCUUUGAUCUAUUGAUGACCACCUGUGGCGAAGGCGGUCUACCAGAACACGUCCGACGGUGAGGGAUGAAAGCUGGGGGAGCAAACCGGAUUAGAGACCCGAGUAGUCC